rnacentral:rRNA from 1 species
AACGAACGCUGGCGGCAGGCUUAACACAUGCAAGUCGAACGCCCCGCAAGGGGAGUGGCAGACGGGUGAGUAACGCGUGGGAAUCUACCGUACCCUACGGAAUAGCUCCGGGAAACUGGAAUUAAUACCGUAUACGCCUACGGGGAAGGAUUAUCGGGUAGUGAUGAGCCCGCGUUGGAUUAGCUAGUUGGUGGGGUAAAGGCCUACCAAGGCGACGAUCCAUAGCUGGUCUGAGAGGAUGAUCAGCCACAUUGGGACUGAGACACGGCCCAAACUCCUACGGGAGGCAGCAGUGGGGAAGUAUUGGACAAUGGGCGGCAAGCCUGAUCCAGCCAUGCCGCGUGAGUGAUGAAGGUCUUAGGAUUGUAAAGCUCUUUCACCGAUGAAGAUAAUGACGGUAGUCGGAGAAGAAGCCCGGCUAACUUCGUGCCAGCAGCCGCGGUAAU